CGCCUUGCCAGCCCGCUCAGAAACUUAAAGGAAUUGACGGGGCCCGCACAAGCGGAGGAACAUGUGGUUUAAUUCGAUGAUACGCGAGGAACCUACCUGGGCUAGAACGCAAUCGGAAUCAGGCCGAAAGGUCUGCGCCAGCGAUGGCCGCUUGCGAGGUGCUGCAUGGUUGUCGUCAGCUCGUGCCGUGAGGUGUCGGGUUAAGUCCCAUAACGAGCGCAACCCCUACUGCUAGUUGCCAGCGGGUCAUGCCGGGGACUCUAGCGGAACUGCCAGCGUAAGCUGCGAGGAAGGUGGGGAUGACGUCAAAUCAGCACGGCCCUUACGUCCAGGGCUACACACGUGUUACAAUGGCCAGUACAGAGGGCAGCCACCCCGCGAGGGGGCGCUAAUCCUAAAAGCUGGUCCCAGUUCGGAUCGGAGUCUGCAACCCGACUCCGUGAAGCUGGAUUCGCUAGUAAUCGCGCAUCAGCCACGGCGCGGUGAAUACGUUCCCGGGCCUU
rnacentral:rRNA from 1 species